GUUAAAAAGCUCGUAGUUGGAUUUCUGAUCUUUGCCAAUGGUUGUGUCGCCGCGUGCGAGGCGCCUUGCGCAGAGGUCAACAUAUGUCACGAGCCAGUGUGAUCUAUUCAUUUAGGUCCACUGGGUAGUGACUCGUUUACUUUGAGAAAAUUAGAGUGUUCAAAGCAGGCAUUUGCCUUGGAUAUGUUAGCAUGGAAUAAUAGCAUAGGACUUCGGUUCUAUUUGUUGGUUGUUCGAGAACUGGAGUAAUGAUUGAUAGGGACGGUUGGGGGCAUCCGUAUUCUCAAGCGAGAGGUGAAAUUCUUGGACCUUGGGAAGACGAACAGCUGCGAAAGCGUUUGCCUAGGACGUUCUCUUUACUCAAGAACGAAAGUUGGGGGAUCGA
rnacentral:rRNA from 1 species